ACGCUGGCGGCAGGCUUAACACAUGCAAGUCGAGCGGUAACAGGAAUUAGCUUGCUAAUUUGCUGACGAGUGGCGGACGGGUGAGUAAUGCUUGGGAAUCUGGCUUAUGGAGGGGGAUAACUACGGGAAACUGUAGCUAAUACCGCGUAAAAUCUUCGGAUUAAAGGGUGGGACUUUCGAGCCACCUGCCAUAAGAUGAGCCCAAGUGGGAUUAGGUAGUUGGUUAGGUAAAGGCUGACCAAGCCGACGAUCUCUAGCUGGUCUGAGAGGAUGACCAGCCACACUGGAACUGAGACACGGUCCAGACUCCUACGGGAGGCAGCAGUGGGGAAUAUUGCACAAUGGGGGGAACCCUGAUGCAGCCAUGCCGCGUGAAUGAAGAAGGCCUUUGGGUUGUAAAGUUCUUUCGGUGACGAGGAAGGUUGAUAGGUUAAUAGCCUAUCAAAUUGACGUUAAUCACAGAAGAAGCACCGGCUAACUCCGUGCCAGCAGCCGCGGUAAUACGGGGGGUGCGAGCGUUAAUCGGAAUAACUGGGCGUAAAGGGCACGCAGGCGGUGACUUAAGUGAGAUGUGAAAGCCCCGAGCUUAACUUGGGAAUUGCAUUUCAUACUGGGUCGCUAGAGUACUUUAGGGAGGGGUAGAAUUCCACGUGUAGCGGUGAAAUGCGUAGAGAUGUGGAGGAAUACCGAAGGCGAAGGCAGCCCCUUGGGAAUGUACUGACGCUCAUGUGCGAAAGCGUGGGGAGCAAACAGGAUUAGAUACCCUGGUAGUCCACGCUGUAAACGAUGUCGAUUUGGGGAUUGGGCUUUGAGCUUGGUGCCCGUAGCUAACGUGAUAAAUCGACCGCCUGGGGAGUACGGCCGCAAGGUUAAAACUCAAAUGAAUUGACGGGGGCCCGCACAAGCGGUGGAGCAUGU
rnacentral:rRNA from 1 species